UUUCCGUAGGUGAACCUGCGGAAGGCUCAUUCAUAAUAAGUGUUUUACUGCACUUUUUAAAACUAGUACUCCCCUUGUGUGCAAUGUUUUGUUUCUUUUCGUAGAAACACCUACACCAGACUAUAACCUUGAACCACUUUGUCUGAAAAACUAUUAUGAAUACUUAAUUCAAAAUACAACUUUCAACAACGGAUCUCUUGGCUCUC
rnacentral:misc_RNA from 1 species